rnacentral:rRNA from 1 species
CCCUUAGAUGUUCUGGGCCGCACGCGCGCUACAAUGAUGAAUUCAACGAGUUUAUAACCUUGGUUGAAAAGCCUGGGUAAUCUUUUGAACUUUCGUCGUGAUGGGGCUAGACCCUUGCAAUUAUUGGUCUCCAACGAGGAAUUCCUAGUAAACGCAAGUCAUCAGCUUGCAUUGAUUACGUCCCUGCCCUUUGUACACACCGCCCGUCGCACCUACCGAUUGAAUGGUCCGGUAAAAUCUUCGGAUUGAGACUUUGAUUUCUUCACGGAAAACGCUGUUUUAAAAAGUUGAUUAAACCUUACCAUUUAGAGGAAGGUGAAGUCGUAACA